UACGUAGGGGGCAAGCGUUGUCCGGAAUCAUUGGGCGUAAAGAGCGUGUAGGCGGUCCGGUAAGUCCGCUGUAAAAGUCAAGGGCUCAACCCUUGAAAGCCGGUGGAUACUGCCGGGCUAGAGUCCGGAAGAGGCGAGUGGAACUCCUGGUGUAGCGGUGAAAUGCGCAGAUAUCGUAAGGAAGACCAGUGGCGAAGGCGGGUCUCUGGACAGUUCCUGACGCUGAGGCACGAAGGUCAGGGGAGCAAACGGG
rnacentral:rRNA from 1 species